rnacentral:rRNA from 1 species
UACGUAGGGAGCAAGCGUUGUCCGGAAUCAUUGGGCGUAAAGCGCGCGUAGGUGGCCCCGUAAGUCCGCUGUGAAAGUCAAAGGCUCAACCUUUGAAAGCCGGUGGAUACUGUGGGACUAGAGUACGGAAGAGGCGAGUGGAAUUCCUGGUGUAGCGGUGGAAUGCGCAGAUAUCAGGAGGAACACCAAUAGCGAAGGCAGCUCGCUGGGACGUUACUGACGCUGAGACGCGAAAGCGUGGGGAGCAAACAGG